CCUUGAAAAUCCUGCUACUUUUCUGGAGGUUCAUCGGGAUUGGAGUCGACAGAUUUACUGUCUCCUUUGCCUGUGAGACUAGAACCCUAGGGCCAGGGGAGACCUGGCAUCCAAGGUGCACUGUAGGGGAGCUUCAGCUGGACGGAAACUGACUCUUCCUGCAUCCUGGUGCCCUGCUCGGCAGUGCAACGGAACCAGUGACAGGGCUGCAGGACAAUACCAGCACUUCAGGAACUGUGUUGCAGGUGUCACACCUUGGAUUCCCCAUAGCCGGCUAAAACCAGCGGCAGCAAUGACUCCCGAUGACGACCAGUGGAGUAGCCAACAAGACCCAGAUCGCCCCACCCGAAUAGUCCUACGGUGAAACCCAGCCACCAGUAAGGACAACUGUCCUGCUCUGACCACUCUGGAGGCUGGUCAGUCUAUGCACAGCUGAAGCUUGAGGAUCUGCAAGCUCUACUCUAAUCACAUCGUGGAAGCUGACUAGUCUAUGCACAGCCUAAGUUAAGAGGACCAUCUCCGGAUAAGUAAAUGCAUUGUGAAGACCCUGUUUCUCUAGCUGUGAAGCUGCAAGUUUGCUGGACAGAUAAACUCAAGUCGCAAAAUAUUUUUUUUCCUUGAAAAGUAAGAAAUAAUGUCAUGCAUGUCUCAAUUAAAUAACUGUCUUUGUUUCUUGCUUCUGUAAUAUACUUCCCCCUGCACAAAUCUUCCCCACCCACAAAAUGCUUAAAAGGUAACUUAACUCUUUGUUCAGGACUCAAUCCUUUGGAUGUUAAUCCAGCUGGUCCAGUGCACCUAUAUAAUUAAUAAAUA